UUGACCUCGAAUCAGGUAGGAAUACCCGCUGAACUUAAGCAUAUCAAUAAGCGGAGGAAAAGAAACCAACAGGGAUUGCCCCAGUAACGGCGAGUGAAGCGGCAACAGCUCAAAUUUGAAAUCUGGCCCCCCGGGGCCCGAGUUGUAAUUUGCAGAGGAUGCUUUUGGCGAGGCGCCUUCCGAGUUCCCUGGAACGGGACGCCAUAGAGGGUGAGAGCCCCGUCUGGUCGGACGCCGAGCCUCUGUAAAGCUCCUUCGACGAGUCGAGUAGUUUGGGAAUGCUGCUCUAAAUGGGAGGUAUAUGUCUUCUAAAGCUAAAUACCGGCCAGAGACCGAUAGCGCACAAGUAGAGUGAUCGAAAGAUGAAAAGCACUUUGAAAAGAGGGUUAAACAGUACGUGAAAUUGUUGAAAGGGAAGCGCCUGUGACCAGACUUGCGCCCGUCGGAUCACCCAGCGUUCUCGCUGGUGCACUCCGGCGGGCGCAGGCCAGCAUCAGCUCGUCUCGGGGGACAAAGGCGGCGGGAACGUGGCUCCUCCGGGAGUGUUAUAGCCCGCCGCGCAAUGCCCUGGGGCGGGCUGAGGACCGCGCGUAAGCAUGGAUGCUGGCGUAAUGGUCAUCAGCGACCCGUCUUGAAACACGGACCAA
rnacentral:rRNA from 1 species